rnacentral:rRNA from 1 species
AUUGAACGCUGGCGGCAGGCCUAACACAUGCAAGUCGAACGAGCGGCGGACGGGUGAGUAAUGUAUGGGAAUCUGCCCGAUAGAGGGGGAUAACUACUGGAAACGGUGGCUAAUACCGCAUACUAUCGGAUGAACCCAUAUGGGAUUAGCUAGUAGGUGGUGUAAAGGCUACCCUAGGCGACGAUCUCUAGCUGGUCUGCGAGGAUGAUCAGCCACACUGUGACUGAGACACGGUCCAGACUCCUACGGGAGGCAGCAGGGGGGAAUAUUGCACAAUGGGCGCAAGCCUGAUGCAGCCAUGCCGCGUGUAUGAAGAAGGCCUUAGGGUUGUAAAGUACUUUCAGCGGGGAGGCGUUACCCGCAGAAGAAGCACCGGCUAACUCCGUGCCAGCAGCCGCGGUAAUAC